CACCUAGUCCCAAACAACAGGAGAGUACUUCUAAAAUCCAACAUCUGUUUAUAAGGUGAUGUCCACGGGGCUUCCCUGGUGGCUCAGAAGGUAAAAGAAUCUGCCUGCAAUGCAGAUCCAGGUUUGAUCCCUGGGUCAGGAAGAUCCCCUGGAGGAGAAAAUGGCAACCUACUCCAGUAUUCCUGCCUGGAAAAUUUCAUGGACAGAAGAGCCUGGUGGGCUAUAUAGUCCAUGGAAUCCUAGUAAAGAGCCAGACACGACUGAGCGACUAACACUUCAUAAAGAGGAGCCAGAAGGCAGCAGGGGAUUAUCUGAAGGUGGAAGCUGCACACAGCCCUGGGGGGGAAGAGCUCCACUCCCUGCCCCACGUUGAGCUUCCGAGAGGAGCGGCUGCCAGCAGGGUCCCAGCAGUGAGUAACUGCAGGCUUGUUUUGGCCUUCCUGGUGGCCUGAAGCCAGAACAAGGGCUCCUAGGAACAGCAGCGUGUUUCCAAGACCCUCGGCUUAGCUCACUGCCACUCUGGCCCCUCAGGACCGCCUGGUGCUCUGGUCCAAUGCUUGGGAGAAAUCCUAAACUGAGGGAAAUCAAGGCCCAGCCCACUUCGGGAAUGGCUCAGGGGCUGCAACCUCCAGCUCACCAACAAGGCAGUUAGAACCACGGUUGGCAAAUACAGCUGCACUUCGGGAUCACCUGGGAUGCCUGGGUCCCCCGCGGGGCCAAGUCCAGCCCCAGAGAUCUCAGGAUUUCUAACCAUGCCACAUCCCCUGGGGGGCACAACUCCCAGCCACAGAGGGGAAAAGAAACGCCCAGAGUGACUCCACUGAGGAGGGCAAGGUCUGCAUUCGCCUCACCGCUUCCUGAUACUUUCACAAACAAGACGAGGAACAAGAGAAAAUGCAGUGCAUUUGCUGACUUUGUCAAUCCCCUUGCCUCGCUCCCCCCUGCAGCCGGGUCUCCAGGGAAGGGUUUAACAGGAAGCGCCUGGCGUCCGGGAGCCACAGAAGACCAUUGUUCUCCAGCUGGUCCCCUCCCUCUUGUCCAGGAAGACCCUCUAGGGAGCCCCUUCAAAAGGGCCAGGCGCAGUGUCUCCAGACUGCAGGCCAGCCUGUCGGGAGAGCAAGCACCGGAAAAGGAAACC
ensembl:lncRNA